GGUAUGGGAUGAGCUUGCGUCCGAUUAGCUAGUUGGCGGGGCAACGGCCCACCAAGGCGACGAUCGGUAGCCGGCCUGAGAGGGUGAUCGGCCACAUUGGGACUGAGAUACGGCCCAGACUCCUACGGGAGGCAGCAGUAGGGAAUAUUGCACAAUGGGGGAAACCCUGAUGCAGCAACGCCACGUGUGGGAAGAAGCAUUUCGGUGUGUAAACCACUGUCAUGAGGGAAUAAGGCCUAUUUUCGGAUAGGAUUGAAUGUACCUUGAGAGGUAGCACCGGCAAACUUCGUGCCAGCAGCCGCGGUAAUACGAGGGGUGCAAGCGUUGUUCGGAAUUACUGGGCGUAAAGGGAGCGUAGGCGGAGAUUCAAGCGGAUUGUACAAUCCCGGGGCCCAACCCCGGCUCUGCAGUCCGAACUGGAUCUCUUGGAUAGUUCAGGGGCAGGC
rnacentral:rRNA from 1 species